AUCCAGCUAACAAGCCCCAAAUAGGACGAAACGCACGUCCUGGAU
rnacentral:hammerhead_ribozyme from 1 species